rnacentral:tRNA from 1 species
GGCCCGGUAGCUCAGUUGGUAGAGCAGCGGAUUGAAAAUCCGCGUGUCGGAGAUCAACAAGAUAGCCCGGCUCG